CGGAGCUGCUCCCUGGACCUGCGGGAGGUGCUCUGCGACCGCCCACGCCCCGGCCCGCGGCGCGUCCCGGACGUCCACGCUUGCGUUUCUGCGGAUCGUGGGAAUCCUUCUGCGUGGGAGUUUUAGAAAUGCUAACCGAGCUCAGGUUUUGAACAUGUCUGGGACUGUGAAUUGGCUGCCAGAAUGAAGCAAAAGCAGCCAGGCUGAGAGAACCAUGGAGCUCUGAAGCCAGUCCCAAGAAGAAGCAGAAGACAUAAUACAAGCAGAAGACAGGGAGAGAAUAUUCUACGCGUAUAUACACAGGCUCAACUCUGCAGAGGACUGAUAAUGGGAAGAGAAAGCCCCGACUGGCAUCACCCUGGGUUCAAGCAGCCAAAGGCAUGAAAAGUUUGACCUUGGCCUUUUAUUUCUUAGAACAGUUUAGGCUAAUCCCUACGGGUAUGCUGCUGCCAAGUUGGUUCUUUUACUGUGCUCAUCAGAAGUGCCAGAAAAAUACCCGCACCCGCCCCCCAUUUAGCCUCUGGAAGAAGAUGUUCUAAAGGGCUCACAAACAUCCAGAUGUAGCUCUUACCAAGCUCCAGCGUCAGAAGGAGUGCCUCAGCGUCUAAGUCCGUAUAUACACACACGGCUUUUCAUGCAUCCUCUGCUGGGGAGGUCACAAUCUGAGGCACCCUUUAAAGCCACUUCUGGGAGAAAAGAAAGAGAAAAAAAAAAAUCAACCACUGAACGUCUAGUGAGCUGUUUCCUAAGGAGGCAUCAACAAACUCCUACCAGCCCCAGUCCUCAGUAACGUCAUGAGAUGGGCUGCUUGUGGUUGUCAAAACUGAUCUUCCCACUGCGGGUGAACACGUACGGCGGAUUGUUAUGGCUUAGGGCGCUUGACUGCACCGCUGUGAAAAUAUUCAGCAGAAUUCCACAAGCUCUUUGUUUGCCUUGCCUUAGUGGAAAUUCCUCCAGCUAUCCAAACACGCACCUGGGGGAGGUGUUUUUUUUUUCCCCCUCCACAUUUCAGGAAGGGGUUUCUUCUAAGUAAAAAUGUGUCCUUACCUCUCUUCUAAGUUCUCAGGCAAGACUUCUGGUUUGAGUUGAAGAUGACUAUGAAUGUGUUCUGGUUGGAAAGGGAGGUGGAGUUGGAGGAGCCGGAGAGGUCUGUAGCAAAUGUUCCUCCAACAGAGCUAAGCUGGGAAAAGGAAAGCCAAUGGAAGCCAACAAAGAAGGAAGCACGAAGCAAGGCUCCCCCAGAUUCCUAGAAGCCCAGGAACACAAAAGCCAGGAAGAUGAAUCGUCUUUUACAGUAGUAGACCUGUAUAUAGGAACGGGGAAGAUUCUAGGGUGAAAGAUCCGGGCUGCCGCUGGUCACCCAGAAGGGAGUAUGUACCUUGAGUUUCGUAACACGGAAUGGAAGUUUGGAGGCCCCUUGAAAAGAACCAAAGCACAAAGGAAGUUGGGCCUGAAGAAGGCUGGGAGACCUCUCACGCAGAGACCCAGGGCUCAGGACAGAGAAAGGAAGGUAGAACGCCAAGUGGAUCUCAUAUUUGCUCUGCGGGCUUCUGGGAAGUGUUUGAAAACAUUCUAUUUAAACUGUGCCUCUUAAGAGAGCUCUCCACUUACAUCUAACUCAGUGUGCUCAUAUUAGCAAAUAGAAAUUAUGGGAACAUUCCAAGUGCUCCCCGCCUUCCUGGUCCUCCCUCCCUGACCCCGAUAGUCUGUCCUGCCUGGAGUCUGGGCGAAUGUUUGUUUCUGAGGGAUGGAAACUGAUUAAAAACUAGAAGGCUGCUUGGGAAAAA
rnacentral:lncRNA from 1 species